UCGACGAAGCUUCAGCCACCUACUCGAGGUGUUGUUCCACCGCCGAUAUUUUUGGUCUUUCUGAUCAGUUGAGGAUCAACAGAAGGUUUUGGGUAUAAGAUCAACCCUUUGAUUUACAACAGCGACCAUCCUAUGUUGUGAGCCAACAGAGAAGUCUUCGAAUUGGAUUUUGACGCGAGACGAGUAUCUCGAUGUCGGAUUUGGACAUUCCUAUUAGAGGCGGG